ensembl:lncRNA
UAACAGUUUCCUCAACCAAACACUCAACUGAUAUUGUGUGAUAAAAACUGGAAGUCCGCCGGUGAAAGAAGGAGCUGUUUGUUGAGAAAUACACUCACCAACCCGGCGACCCUCGUCUUCUGAAACAACCGGAGACUGUACUGCACUGAAAGUUGGUUCAGUGGCGAAGAAGGCGGCUACAUUCUGCCUGUAAACCCUCCGAAAAGGGCUGGUUUUUAUUUUGCUUUGACUGUCGAAAGGCGGGGGAUACGAAGCGACCUACGGUGAAAAUCCGUAACAUUUUCGACUAACUGAAGAAAACAGAAAACAAAAAACGGAAUUACUACAGAGCCAGUUCGUGCUGCGGUGACUGGUCAGCGAUAGUACAUGGAUUAUCUGGUUAUGGAACAAAAAAAGUCAAGUGGAAGACACCCCAAAAUUUUACCAGCACUGAGCCAGAGGAUGCAAUUAGCUAUCCGUCAAGACACUGGACGACCCUCGACCCAAAUUAAGCCCGUUACUGGUGCCAA